UUUUAAUGCGAAAGACCUUACCAGGUCUUGACAUACUAUGCAAAUCUAAGAGAUUAGACGUUCCCUUCGGGGACAUGGAUACAGGUGGUGCAUGGUUGUCGUCAGCUCGUGUCGUGAGAUGUUGGGUUAAGUCCCGCAACGAGCGCAACCCUUAUUAUCAGUUGCCAGCAUUAAGUUGGGCACUCUGGUGAGACUGCCGGUGACAAACCGGAGGAAGGUGGGGAUGACGUCAAAUCAUCAUGCCCCUUAUGACCUGGGCUACACACGUGCUACAAUGGAUGGUACAACGAGUUGCGAACUCGCGAGAGUAAGCUAAUCUCUUAAAGCCAUUCUCAGUUCGGAUUGUAGGCUGCAACUCGCCUACAUGAAGUCGGAAUCGCUAGUAAUCGCGGUCAGCAUGCCCGCCGGAAAAG
rnacentral:rRNA from 1 species